GAGCAUUUGGCUUGUGAUCUGUUUUGGAGUGGAUGGUGGAGGUGUUUCCUUUGGUGAAGCAGGGAUGUGAAUAAGAGCACAUGAUAUAUCCAUCAACAAGCAUUUUACAUCCAGUGAUCCUUGUCAUAGAGGAGUUGCAACAGGGACACCUACAUGUAGUGCAGAUGAUCAAUGUAUUCUGGGUUUCUGGCUGAUGUCCUUUGAGGUGGUGUCAUGCUACAAGUGCUUUGAUAAGGAUCCUUGGUUUCUUAGUGUUAAACUCUGCUGUAUCAUUGGCCAGCCUUUGGGGUGGAGUAUUUUGUGUCAGACGUAGCUGAUCCUGGACUGAGCUCUUUUAUCAACUUGACAUAUUUUAUACAUCAUGUGUUACCUUGUUGUCUGUCAGAAGUGUAAUAAGAAGACAUGGAAAGGAUGCGGCCAACACGCUGAGCAGGUGAUGCGAGAUGUUCCAGAGGGAGAAAGAUGCAAGUGCCCUAGAGGAAGUUAAAAUGGCAUCUCAACACUCGAUCUUUCUGCACAUUACCAUAUAUCAUGGUUUCUAUCAAGUACUAUUUGGGUAGGGGUGAAGGGGGGAGGGUAAGGGAUGGGAUGGGGUAGUGGUAAAGAAAGUGGAAAGAGGGGGGGGGGUAAGGGAGUAGGGUGAAAGAGAGAGGGGCAGAGGGUGAAAGAAUGAAGGACCAUAGUUUUGUGGUGGGGGGGGGGAGGGUUAUGAAAGGAAGUGGAAAGUUAGUCAUGAAUUUGGUGGUUGUUGCGGGGGGGGGGGGGGGGGGUCGGUACUUUUAAAAAUUACAUUGAGAUUUUAAGUUUUUCAAAUCCUCUGUUUGCAAUGAUACAAUGGGUAAUUUCAAGUACGGUGUUAGUGUUGAGAGUGCGAAACUUUCAGCUGGCCCAAGCUUCAAUCCAAGUAUAUAGGGUUCAGAAAGAGGAUAACAAUCAUUCCAACAGUACAUGUACAUGUUGCUUAAAGACUGGGGAAUGACAUCAUGCCUCUGUAUGAUUAUGUCAACUCCUAUCAAAAAGACUCAUUGAUGCCAGCAACACUGGUAAAAAAUUGCAGUUAAAUCUCAUCAUCAUAGAUGCAAAACAACCAAAUUUAAAAUCACAUCAAAAUAAUUUUAUUUCUCAUCAAACUUAUUUCCUUGGCCACAAAAAGCUGAUUUUUACUGCAGGAAAAGCAUUUAGAGGCACUCAAUACCAACACAAGCCUGAUUUUAAGCACAUGGUGUUGCAACAACAUCGACACCAAUUUCAAAAGUAGAUUCUGAAUGAUGAAGAAAUGUGCCAGAAGUUGACCAGAAGAAUUUAUAAUGAAUACACGCCUAGAAGUUGAUUGUAAAACCUGACGAUCCAAACAAAUUCUUUGAAAACAUACAUAGGGAAUACAUUUUUUUUUUGUAAAUAUCAUUGGAGCACAUGAUUAUAAAUUUGUUUUGCUUUAGUGUGUUGUGUAUUAUUUUGGUCUAAUCACAUGUAUAUGUUAAAUUCUGCUGCAAAAUAUAUCAAGAUAAUAUAUGUGAUCUAUUAAUGUUUGUAUGUAUGUUAAGGCAAUCCAUAUGUUAUGCUUUAGGAAAAGUGACUAAAUUACAUGCCAAUUGUUUAAAAUUUAAUGCAGUUAUGUAUAUUUUAUCAAAAAGAUAUAUUUUUCUGUAUGAACAAGCAAGAUCUAUAUCAAAUGUGAAUAAAAUGUAAGAAUUUUUUUGUCCUCAGAAAGAUCUAAUUUAUUCCCAUUUUUCAAGUUCAGCCGAAUAUGGGAAAUUAAUUUUAGUCACAUUUUCUUUGCUAAAUUUCAAGCCCUCCAAUAGUGUAAGUGAAAUUGUUUGUAUUACAGUGUUAAACAUGACUACUGAAAAAAGAUAGAUAAUUACAAAAUCACAAUGGUAAGAAGGCACAGUGUAAUUUUUAUUUCUCUAUUUCCUAUUCUGUUUUGUUUUUAUCUUAUUGAUACAUGUAUAUCUAGGUAUACAGAUUACACAAAUGGUACAUUUCAUUAGUGCAUGGGGAUUAUUAUUACAAGGUAUAUAUCAUGAAAGAAUAUACUGUAUUGUUUGGCUCUCAUUGGUGGAAAAAUGGUCAUGUGACAAUAGAUGGAUUGUCGAAAGAAAGUGCGACUCUAGGUCAUACUUGAAUCUUUGUGAAACACUCCCAUGGUGUGCAUUGCCCUAUUGGCAAAGAUCUCAUUCCAUGCAGAAUCAUAUCACUUUGGUUUGUGAAACUAGGGCUCUUGAUUCUCAGCUUUCUUAUGGAAGGGCUAGAAUCUGAAGAGUAAUCAAAUCUGGGCUGAUGAAGCACCUCAACAAGGUUUAUAGAAUGUUAGAUUUCGAUGUCUUCACAAAUCGUCGUGUUGGUGCAGGAAUGCCCUUAGCACCACACUUCCGCGCACCUCACCGGUGCACAAACGCCCUUACGCAGUGCCCUAAUGCGCGCUACUCUGCGUGUUUCUGCGCGCAUGCAAUACACGUAAGUGUCGUGCUAAGGGCGUUCUUGCACCGACACAACGAAAUAAACUGUUAUGAGACCGAUGAUGCAAGGUAUUAUUAUGGUCAUUCCAGGGUUUUAGAAUGCAGUUUUUCAUUCUAAUGCACAAACUUCAAAGUAUUUUGUUUCUGGUUUUUUUUUUUAUUACCCAUACCUCAUUUGAUAUUUAAAUUUAUUUUGUCAAAUCAGCAGUUUUAUGUUUGUUUAAAUGGACAAUAUCUCUAAUUGUUGCUGGGGCGGGUCCAUGCAUGCCAGUCUUGCAUUACCCACAUGGAUUUUUGAAAGUUUUUUUUUUUCUUUUCGGUGUGUUAGUUUAAGAACUGAUAAUACAAUGACUACUGUAAUAUGUAAAAUCUGUUUCUCUAAUUGCAAUGUACAUUUUGCUGCAUAAAUAAAAUGUGAAAGAAAAGUAGCAUUUGGGUUUAAGAAAUGCAGUUGAAAUUAUCAAAAAUGUAGGAACUCAAGCCUUAUUAAAUACUUGUACUGUGAUUUCUGUUGAAGUAAUUUUUAGAAUUCAAUAUUAAAUUAAAAAACAUUUGAUUUCAGUAUAUUUCACACAAUUCACUGUGUUAAAGGGCACUCUCAACCAAAAAUUAAUGAUGUAAGUAAAGAAUAAAAUUCUCUGAGUAAUACACGGAAAAUUUCAUCAAAAUAAAAUAUAUACAUGUAACAAAUGCACACCAUCAUGAAUAUGCAAUGGGUGGGCUGAUGGUGUUAUGUCCCCACAUUUCUCUUGUGUUUUUUACAUGAAAUUACAAGUAUUUAGUAUUUUCAUAAUAUAUGUGUGUAUACAUGUAUAUCUCCCUUGUUAAACAAAAUAAGUUGCAGCAGUGAUCAUCUUACUUGAUAAAUCACUUUUCAAUACAUUAUAUUUUUUUAUUCUUCAUUGACAAAAUUUGAUUUGAUAAAGUAAAGAAAAAAUAAAUAAAUAAGUGGAGAUAUGACAUCAUCAGCUUCAUUGUAUAUUCAUAAAAAGAUAUGCAAAACUUAAAAAUGUCAUAACAUUGGUAUUCCUUGUCCAAUUUUGAGGAAAAUUUGACCAUUAUUUUGUUUGAUUUCACUACUUUUUAGCAUAGAGUACCCCUUUAAUACUAUAGAUUGAAUACUUGUUUAAUGAAACUGAGUUGAUGUUAAAGCACUGCAAUGCACUGUGAGAUUCAAGAAAAGAAGUCAUGUAUUUAUUCUGGUAUAUAUCAAUUAUUGCUGCAUGUUAAAUGAAAUCAUUUUUAUUACUGAGACAAUAUUUAUGUUUGUAUUUUAUCACUUAAUAAAAUAUAUCAAUACUCAA